rnacentral:tRNA from 1 species
CGGGGCGUAGCGCAGUCCGGCUAGCGCACCUGCAUGGGGUGCAGGGGGUCGGCGGUUCAAAUCCGCCCGCCCCGA